rnacentral:rRNA from 1 species
ACAGGGGGAUAACACUUAGAAAUAGGUGCUAAUACCGCAUAAGCGCACGGUUCCGCAUGGAACAGUGUGAAAAACUCCGGUGGUAUACGAUGGAUCCGCGUCUGAUUAGCCAGUUGGCGGGGUAACGGCCCACCAAAGCGACGAUCAGUAGCCGGCCUGAGAGGGUGAACGGCCACAUUGGGACUGAGACACGGCCCAAACUCCUACGGGAGGCAGCAGUGGGGAAUAUUGCACAAUGGGGGAAACCCUGAUGCAGCGACGCCGCGUGAGUGAAGAAGUAUCUCGGUACGUAAAGCUCUAUCAGCAGGGAAGAAAAUGACGGUACCUGAUUAAGAAGCCCCGGCUAACUACGUGCCAGCAGCCGCGGUAAUACGUAGGGGGCAAGCGUUAUCCGGAUUUACUGGGUGUAAAGGGAGCGUAGACGGCAGCGCAAGUCUGGAGUGAAAUGCCGGGGCCCAACCCCGGAACUGCUUUGGAAACUGUGCAGCUCGAGUGCAGGAGAGGUAAGCGGAAUUCCUAGUGUAGCGGUGAAAUGCGUAGAUAUUAGGAGGAACACCAGUGGCGAAGGCGGCUUACUGGACUGUAACUGACGUUGAGGCUCGAAAGCGUGGGGAGCAAACAGGAUUAGAUACCCUGGUAGUCCACGCCGUAAACGAUGAUUACUAGGUGUCGGGGGGCCAAGGCCCUCCGGUGCCGGCGCAA